UUAAUAGGUAAUAUUUAUUGGAAUUAUAUAAAGGACUUAUCUACGUUAAAUCCUGAUUAACCCUGAAAACUCUCACAAGAGAACUUUCCGAAAAUAGUUUAUCACUUUGAUUUCGUACCAUUAGAAAUGAGUCCUCCAUUGGUGGAUGGCAAGUUAAAAGUUCAAGAGUAAACGGAAACACGGAGGGCUACAUACUACAAAGAACCAGAUCCCAAUCGAGAAAUUCCAACUCAAUAGUCCAUGACUUAAACUUGAAUGGUGAAUGUGACAUGAAUGUGAGCACCUGUAUCAUUCUGGGUUCUUUUAAGAAGACCCCAAUACAAAUUCCCAUGGACUGACCAUGUCAUUGUGGAUCUGGGAAUGGAUUACUGCCAUCAAGCAGGGAAUGGACCAGCCAUAAACAAACGAUCCUCAGUACCCACUCCAGUAGAACUUGGUAUGAUAAUUACCAAAAUUAUAUUAGUUGUAAUGAAUUAUUUGAAUUGAAAAA